rnacentral:rRNA from 1 species
UACGGAGGAUCCAAGCGUUAUCCGGAAUCAUUGGGUUUAAAGGGUCCGUAGGCGGUUUUGUAAGUCAGUGGUGAAAGCCCAUCGCUCAACGGUGGAACGGCCAUUGAUACUGCAAGACUUGAAUUAUUGGGAAGUAACUAGAAUAUGUAGUGUAGCGGUGAAAUGCUUAGAGAUUACAUGGAAUACCAAUUGCGAAGGCAGGUUACUACCAAUA